UUGAACCAAGAAGACAAAGUUCUCACCUGGCUGUGCUCAAUUGGGUACGGAUUUUUAGGCACGUCGAUAACUCGCAUUGUUCCGUAUGGUGAUUGUAUCGCUGAAGUGCAUAAUGAUGGUUGGAUUUUGGCCUAUGAUAUUGUGGACAAUGGAAUGUUAAAAGUGAAAAAAAGCUUCAAGCUAACCUCAGGAAUUUUGAAGUAUUUUCAAUUUCCUGGAGCUCCUGAGUCAUUCCAUGCCAUUACGGAAAGAGAGGGUCUAAUUGAGGGGGUGGAGGAGGGGACGCUCACUGAACCAUUUUGCAUACCCGACUUCCUUUUCUCAAACGUCAGAGCUGCAACCUUCAUCGAACCACGUGCAGAUUAUUGCGCAAUAUUAAGUGACACUGGAAGGGUCACCAUCUUGGACU